GACGAACGCUGGCGGCGUGCCUAAUACAUGCAAGUCGAGCGAAUGAAUGGGAGCUUGCUCCUGUUCGUUAGCGGCGGACGGGUGAGUAACACGUGGGCAACCUGCCUGUAAGACUGGGAUAACUUCGGGAAACCGGAGCUAAUACCGGAUAGUUUCUUUCUUCACAUGAAGGGAGAUGGAAAGACGGUUUUGCUGUUACUUACAGAUGGGCCCGCGGCGCAUUAGCUAGUUGGUGAGGUAAUGGCUCACCAAGGCGACGAUGCGUAGCCGACCUGGGAGGGGGAGCGGCCACACUGGGACUGAGACACGGCCCAGACUCCUACGGGAGGCAGCAGUAGGGAAUCUUCCGCAAUGGACGAAAGUCUGACGGAGCAACGCCGCGUGAGUGAAGAAGGUUUUCGGAUCGUAAAACUCUGUUGUCAGGGAAGAACAAGUACCAGAGUAACUGCUGGUACCUUGACGGUACCUGACCAGAAAGCCACGGCUAACUACGUGCCAGCCGCCGCGGUAACAC
rnacentral:rRNA from 1 species